rnacentral:rRNA from 1 species
UACAGAGGGCGCAAGCGUUGUUCGGAUUUAUUGGGCGUAAAGGGUGCGUAGGCGGUGUGGUAAGUCGGGUGUGAAAUCUCGGGGCUUAACUCCGAAACUGCAUUCGAUACUGCCGUGCUUGAGGACUGGAGAGGAGACUGGAAUUUACGGUGUAGCGGUGAAAUGCGUAGAUAUCGUAAGGAAGACCAGUGGCGAAGGCGGGUCUCUGGACAGUUCCUGACGCUGAGGCACGAAGGUCAGGGGAGCAAACGGG